UGUGAAGAAGAGUACCCCCAAGAUACCCAAUAAAACCAAAUAUGGACUAGAAAUUAAUAUCAGGAAAAAAAGCAAGUUGAUUAGAAGUGUCCUAGUACCAUUUUAUUUAUUUUAUGUUUAAUUUUUCUUUUAGUUUGCAUGUAAAUGGGUGUUUUGCCUGUGUAAUAUUAAAAAACAAUCCAGGCUAAUGCCGGCUAGGCAUUGGCUGGCAGUCUUGGUCUGUUCCCAGCUCAGUACUGAAUCCGAGACUUCAUGGUUUUCCUAGCCAAGACCUCUCCAGAUCUCUGAGAUAGCUUUCUCCUCCCAGUGGCUGGCUGCUACCAAACCCACUCAGCACCCCCAAAUUUCCUUGCCUAGCUGGGGUGCACUCUGGCAAACCCACGCUCUGCCACUGUUACUUUUUUCUGGAGCUCAGUAGAAUCACCACCAGGUGGAGAACACCAGACAAUCUUAGUUUAGAAUCAAGACAACACAAUUAUUACAUGAUUAUUAAAUGAGAAAUUAUUCUAUAACUUGAAAUUCAAGUAAUAUAUCUUAAUUCUAAAUUUGUGAUAUUUGAUAAAAUUCUAGAAACAAACUUUAUAAUUCUUACGAGAAACUAAAAUUUUGUCUUAAAUGGUAUAUUUAAGAUGCAUUAAAAUGACACAUUUUUAUAGGAGAAACAAGUAUUUUAAAAACUAAUACAAGGUGUUCGGGCUUUCGCCGUCCCCGCACCCGCACCGCAGCCCUGCCCCGCAGCCCUGCCCCGCAGCCUGCAGCACCCCAGCUAGCCUCCAGGAGCCUCCGGCCUGCCACGGCCAUGCCCCGCGUCUACAUAGGACGCCUGAGCUACAACGUCCGCGAGAAGGACAUCCAGGGACAUCCAGCGCUUUUUCAGCGGCUACGGCCGCCUCCUGGAAAUCGACCUCAAAAAUGGGUACAGCUUCGUGGAGUUCGAGGACUCCCGGGAUGCAGACGACACCGUUUACGAGCUGAACAGCAAGGAGCUGUGCAGCGAGCGCGUGAUCGUAGAGCACGACCAGGGCCCGCGACUGCGAUGGCUAUAGCUACAGAAGCCGUGGUGGAGGUGGAUAUAGCAGUCGGAGAACUGGCAGAGAAAAAUAUGGACCACCUGUUCGUAUAGAAUACAGGCUUGUUGUAGAAAAUCUGUCUAGUUGUUGCAGUUGGCAAGACUUAAAGGAUUUCCUGCGGCAAGCAGAAGUGACUUAUGCAGAUGCUCACAAAGAACAGACAAAUAAGGGUGUAAUUGAAUUUAGAUCCUACUCUGACAUGAAACGUGCGUUGGAUAAACUGGAUGGCACAGAAAUAAAUGGCAGAAAUAUUAGGCAUAUUGAAGAUAAGCCAUGAACAAGCCAUAGGCGCUUUUACUCUGGAAGUAGAUCCAGAUCUCGGCCUAGAAGAAGAUCUUGGAGUAGGAGUCGAAGAAGCAGCCGCAGCAGAUCUCGAAGUAUCUCAAAAAGUCGCUCC